rnacentral:lncRNA from 1 species
AUGCGAUCUGAUGCACCAAGAAAAGUUCUGCCACCUUCAGCAACACAUCCAACAAGAGAAGCACACAAAAGGUACAUAGAGGCUAUUACAAACAUGAAGAAUGCUAUGAAACUGACAAUAACUAGCGCCUCUUUUCAAGACGACACCACAAAGAAUCAUUCAUUGAAGGUUGGCACAUACAUCUUUGAGUACAUCAAGAAAGGAAUCCCACAUGUACAUUUUGUUCACAAGGAAGAAGGCACCAGCAUUGACAACUCCAAGGAAAUUUAACCACAUAUUAUGAUAUUUAUCUUAUGAAACUGCUAUGCGUCUAUCAAAUAAUCUUUUUUUGGCGAAUCUAUCAAAUAAUCAAGUCAAAUAAAUUCAUUACUUCUAUUUUGCUCAACCGAAUUUCAGCAAAAUAAUUUCAAAAUAGUCCUGCAGCAACGCGCGGGGGAAUUAUCUAGUAAUAUAAAUGCGGCUGCUGGCGGAGCUUGGAACAAAAUUAAGGAGGGGCAAUGAUGAUUUUAGAUGAAUUGUAUCAGGACACAUAGCGUCUACGAAGCCCUACUUAUCACGAUACCUGGGGUUUAAACUCAUGCCAGACAAUAUUCUCCUCGAGAGUGAAGGCUGCAAUAGUUUAGGGUAUGUUUGGAUGGUAACAAAAGUUGACCCUAUCGAUUUUUGGCCAUGACCAAAAAAUUGGCCUUUGUUUGGAUGAUUGCCAAUUUUUUCGCCAUGCCAAUGGCUAUUGACCCAAUCUAGUUCAUAUUUCUUGCCAAUGUUAGCCAAGUAGCCAACCCAUAGCCAAUCAAAAGCUCAACCAAAAUUUUGACUAGCCAAAUAUUUGGUAUGUAAAGCUUGGGCUAGAACCAAAACUAGCCCAAAAGAUAUGCUAUAUGUUCAUAAAUUACAUUUGCAAUACAAUCCGUAGGUGGGAUUGCGCAAAAUAGAUGUGGGGCAAUUUCAAUCAGCCGUUUGCACUGGAUUAGGGAACUCAAUGGCUAAAGGAAUGAUCUGGUGCAAAUGAAAUCAGUUACGUUUUUAACCACCUCAAGUUGUCAAGAUUCAUCGUUUUUCCAAUUCCUGUAAUACGAAUAAUAACUUAAACAUUAAACACAGUGCACUUGUCAUGGCUGCAAAUGCUUGUACGAUUAUGCGUAAACAAAGGGAUAGUGGAUCUAGACAGCCACUUGAGAUAGCUCUAUGAAGAGAAGCAAAGGUGGUACAAUGCAUGAUAUCUACACCUAUCAAACAAAGAAUCAUGGUUUGUAAUUGUAUACUGUAAUACCAUGCAAAAGGGGGUAAAAGAUGGGUACAGUAACAUUGAAAUAACAGUACUUUUUUUUAGAAAAGGAGGUUAAGCCCCCGGCCUCUGCAUCAAUCGAUGCAUGCAGCCAUCUUUAUUAAUUAUUCCACAAAGGUCUAACAAGAACAUACAUCAAUCCACCCAAAACCACCACUCACACCUACAAACUCGAUAAUGUGGAGUGCUCUCACUCCCCAUAUCUAAAACCGGUGUCGUCGCCGAUCCAUCCACAUAACGUAUCGGUACCAACAGCCGGUGCAGCCUACCUAAAGCACACACCACAUGCACACAUUUUAGAAGCCGCCAUCAUCAUCGGACCACUGACCCAUCUUCAGGAGAGAGAUCUGCAUCAUCCUUUGCUAGUCCAGACAUUCGUCGACGCCACCACGGCGCCCAACAGCGCCACCGCCCUGCGCUCGUCCAUCCAGACGCGAAGACUCUGGAAGAUCUGUCGUGCGUAGCACCUGCCAACUAGGCAUGACUCAGCGUAGCACCUGUCGGCCGGGCAUGAUUUUACAGCUUCACCGAAGCUCCGUGCAAGACGAAGCCGCUCCACCUCCUGCCUCUAUCUUCUAGCGCUGCUCCACAAACAAUGCUCCCAAGAGAGAAACGGCACCGUAGUACCGCCAUCGUCCGAUCUGGAAGACCAAAUCCUAGGGUUUGCCCCAAAGCAGCACGUGUGGAUCGACAACAGUUACACGACGAUGCCUUCAUCAAGGUAACGGCGCAAAACGCCGCCAUCGCCCGCCAACGGCUCAGUUUUCAUCGGCAACUAUGUCUCCCCGACUCGUAGCCGGGACUAGAUGAUGAACCUCGAGAUCCGACCACCCAGCCGCAGGUCGACCACCUUUGACGGAAGAGAUGACCACCACCGCCGGCUGCACCGGUCAAAACAGAUCUGACUGGAGGUGCCGCCGAUGCAACCACCAGGCCUGCGCGCCGCCGCCGCCGAUCCAAAGGCAGAUGGCGCGCCGCCGCCGCCGCCACCCAAACAGGGCUGGCCGCCGCGCCCGCAGCCCGCGCCGCCGCGCCACAGCCAUCGCCAUUGCCGAUCGGAACGGGCGCGCCUCCACACGUUUCGGGGGCCCGCACAACCUCAGAGCUGCGGGAGAGAGGCGAUGUCCACCGCCACCGCCGUCGGUCCCCGGUCUUAGGCUGGCGGCGGCGGAGGGAGGGGAGGAGGGAGUGUGCGCCCCCGGCGGCUGGGUUUAGGGCGCUGCCCGAGUCGCCCUAGCGGGGACGACGCGGGGGCUCGAAAUAACAGUACUUGGUUUGGUUUUUCAUACAAUACAAUGUACAAGUCAGUUUUGCACAAAUUUUGACAUAUACUCUUACAUUUCCAUGUUGCAGUGUUAGGGACCAACUCUCACUAAUCAAUCACAGUAGCAGAUUACAAGGAUAGGUAGCUAAUUUCGGGAUACAAGUUGCAGCAUGAAAUGGGGAUUGAGAAAGAGAGCCAGAGGUGGGAGAAGAAGAGCCACCGUUGAAAGUCGUGAUCCAAG